rnacentral:lncRNA from 1 species
GCACACCUCCCUAAAUAUGGGUAAGUUCAUACCCUAUAAUAAUCUCCUGUGUAAAGUCACUGACCCAUUUCCACUGCUGCUCUCUCAUCUGCUGCUCUGAAGCCUAAACCAUGGUGCCCAGAAUCUUCGAUGCAACUCAUGAGAAGCUGGAGGACCUGGAGAAGCUGGCAACUCAAAAAGGCCAAAGGGUGCAGACAAUAAAAGCCCCAGACAAGCGUAUAGAACCACACGCCGUCUUUUUACUUGCCGCCCUGGACGGCUCAUGGAGGAGACAGGGACUCUCCCCAGGUCGAAGGCCCAAGGCCUGGAUGAUGGGGU